CGGGGUGAGUAAUGUCUGGGAAACUGCCUGAUGGAGGGGGAUAACUACUGGAAACGGUAGCUAAUACCGCAUAAUGUCGCAAGACCAAAGUGGGGGACCUUCGGGCCUCUUGCCAUCGGAUGUGCCCAGAUGGGAUUAGCUAGUAGGUGGGGUAACGGCUCACCUAGGCGACGAUCCCUAGCUGGUCUGAGAGGAUGGCCAGCCACACUGGAACUGAGACACGGUCCAG
rnacentral:rRNA from 1 species